GGGCGGAUAGCUCAGCCUGGUGAGAGCGCCUGCCUUACAAGCAGGAGGUCGGUGGUUCGAAUCCACUUCCGCCCA
rnacentral:tRNA from 1 species